GUGCUCCCUUUGACAUCACAUGUAUAAAAACUGAAACAAUAUAAAGAAGAUUAACAUGGUCCCUGAGCCAUACUAAUGGCAUCCAAAUUUGUGAAACAUUCCAUAUUUUU
ensembl:snRNA U6 U6 spliceosomal RNA